rnacentral:lncRNA from 1 species
AUUAUCUACCUUUACUCAUUGUUUACUGAUUUGACAGGUUUGUUUAAUGUCUGAUAUAACACUGUUUAAAACACUUAAAAUGACACUAAUGAUAUGUAAUUGAUCUGUGUUGUGCAUAUUUAAUCAAAUGAAAAGAGUUGAAAUACAAAAUAUAUUUGGAAUCAUUGUGAAUUAUUGACUUUUUCAUUCUACUUUCGUUUUCCGUCCACUUUUACCUGAUUUAAAUGAAAUAGUGAAUAGUUUUAUUAUUAGUAUUUUUCCAAAAUACUCUUUUUUCCGGUUUCUAUAAAUUUAAAUUAUUUCGCGUUUUUCUGUAUUAUAUUGUAUUAUCUGAUAUUGACGAAUCUCGUUAAAUAUUUCCCAAAACUUACGGUAAUGAUAUGACUAUGUCCGUCAGUUAAGGUAUCAAAGUUUCAUUUCGUCGUUCAGAUCCACGUUUUGACAUAAACAUUUGUUUUUUGUUUGAAACAUUUUAUGUCCAAUGAAAUGUUGAUCUUUCCCUUGAACCGAAGUCUGAUAUGAAGAAAAUCAAUUGGGAAAUAAAAAAGCUAUUGAAAUUUAAAUAAAUUCGAAUCAUCUAUCUUCAGGUCUAUUUUUAGUUCACGUUUAGGUCUAUUGUGUCACCUGAUUUUGUGGAUCGAACCAGUAAAUCGACAUUCUUUUCCUGCUCAUAAUUGAACACGCCUAAUUCAUGUGUAACCUAUCUCUAGCUAAGUGGUUAAAUUUUGUCAAAUGAAUACGAAGGUUGAGGUUUUGGGAAAAUGUUACUUUUUUAUGAUUAACUAUUCACUGCGAGAUACUUUUUGUAAUCUUAUAUGUGAACUUUCAAGUCAUAUCAGUGUAACGGUAAAGGAAUUUUUUGUCUCUUCUGUUUUGUAGCAUGUCGGGUAAACUGACUGUAUGUGGAGUAUGUGCAUACCGCAAAAUCAACAACUCCUCGGUGGUCUGGUGUUCAGAAUGCGACGAAGGACUUUGUGAGGAGUGUAAAGAGCAUCACACAGCUUCAAAAGGGACCAGAGAACAUAGUACUGUUCCAAUCUCCGAGUACCAGAAGCUUCCUCUCAAUAUAUUUGAAAUAACUCAAUCUUGUCAAAAGCACAAUGAAAAAUACGUUAUAUUUUGUAAGAAACACGAUUGUCCAUGCUGUAGACGAUGUGUUGUUGAAACGCAUGAUGAUUGCAAAGAGCUAAACGCUAUUGAUGACGUAAUAAAAAAUGUGAAAUCAUCAAAUGCAUUCUUGGAAAUGGAACAUAUGUUAGCAGAACUUUCAGAAAAUUUACAGAGGAUAAAAAAAGAUCGGCAAGAUAACAUUAAAAUUCUUCAGGAGAACAGGAUCAACAUAGAAAAAGAGAUUGUACAAGCACGAGUAUUGAUCAACAAUCAUCUGGAUAAACUACAGGAAAGUCUGAUGAAAGAGUUGUAUGUUGCUGAGGAAAAGGAAAACAAGAAAAUCAGCUGUUUAAUAUCAUCCAUACAAGAGAAAGAAAGGGAGAAUACAGAAUGCCAGACCAAUUUAGAUAAAAUAAAACAAUAUGCCUCAGAUCUCCAGACGUUCUUGGCUAUGAAACACAUCCAACAAGAUGUAACAAAAAACGAAAAAUUCCUAGAAGCUUUAUUGAAAGAAGAUAAAUUGAAUCAUGUUACCCUUUCUUUUGAAAAAGAAAAUACUUUCGACACUCUACCUUCAGCUAUACACAAGAUGGGAACAAUUAUUUUGGAUACCAGGCCAAAUGAUACUAUAUAUGCAAGCAGAAAGAACAAACAAGCACAGAUAAUGCUGCCCAUUGCACAUGUUCCUACCAUUGAUGAUCUUAAAAUAACUUUAAGACAGACCAUGAAACCAAUAGGAAGAGAUAUUACUAGUUGUAUCUUACUACCAGAUGGCAGAACGAUUUUUACCUGCUUCACUAAUGGCCAAAUAAAUGUGGUAAACACCGACGGGUCGUUAGAUUUUACAUUACAUGCAGCUUCGAACGCAUCUCAUAUAUACUUUAUAGCAGAACGCCAAACAAUUGUGGUAACAUCUGGUAAUUUUAAAAACCCUUGCAUUAAAAUUUUCGAUAUGAAAACCAGAAAAGCUGAGAAAUCCAUUAUUGUCGGGACAGAGAUUUAUGGAAUAGCUCAUAAUGACGAAUCAUUUUUCUUUAAUGGAUAUACACGUGGAUUAUGUGUUGUAAGUUUAGAUGCUGACUCUAUUACACAGUUAGUUAAUGGUACCCUGUCUAAAUAUAGCAGUAUUGCAAUAUGGUCAGAUCAACUUUAUUAUAUAAAUACUGAUGAUUCAGUAACAUGUUGUGAUCUUCAAGGGACAUUGAAAUGGAAAUUAGAACUUGCAACAUUUCUUAAAACAGCACGAGGUAUCACAGUGGACAAUUACGGGCGUGUUUAUGUAUCGGGCUUUUAUUCUCAUAAUGUAGUUUUAAUAUCACCAGAAGGAAAGACACACCGAUUGUUGCUGUCAGAGAAAGAUGGUCUUAUUCUACCACAAGCUUUAUUCUUUGAUCGCACAAAUAACAUUUUACUAAUUUCGAACCAAAAAAAUGUGGCAUUUCUUUAUGAUGUUUCAAAAUGAAUUAAUACAAUAUCCAUAAAUUGAGCAUUCUGUAAUAAUCAUGUUUUUAAUUAAAAAAAUAAUGCGCCUUUCAAAAUGAAACAACUACAAAUGCUUUUGAAGUCAAAAUGUGUUACAUUCUUAAACUUUACC